rnacentral:rRNA from 1 species
AAUGAACGCUGGCGGCAGGCCUAACACAUGCAAGUCGAACGGAUCCUUCGGGAUUAGUGGCGGACGGGUGAGUAACGCGUGGGAACAUACCCAAAGGUACGGAAUAGCCUCGGGAAACUGGGAGUAAUACCGUAUGUGCUCGAAGGAGGAAAGAUUUAUCGCCUUUGGAUUGGCCCGCGUUGGAUUAGGUAGUUGGUGGGGUAAUGGCCUACCAAGCCGACGAUCCAUAGCUGGUUUGAGAGGAUGAUCAGCCACACUGGGACUGAGACACGGCCCAGACUCCUACGGGAGGCAGCAGUGGGGAAUCUUAGACAAUGGGGGAAACCCUGAUCUAGCCAUGCCGCGUGAUCGAUGAAGGCCUUAGGGUUGUAAAGAUCUUUCAGGUGGGAAGAUAAUGACUGUACCACCAGAAGAAGCCCCGGCUAACUCCGUG